CGGGUGAGUAAUGGAUAAGUAACCUGCCCUUAAGUGGGGGAUAACACUUCGAAAGAAGUGCUAAUACCGCAUGUGGUGCUCUUUCACAAGAAGGAUCACUAAAACCGCAAGGUGCUUGAGGAGGGGCUUGUCUCCGAUUAGCUAGUUGGUGGGGUAACGGCCUACCAAGGCGAUGAUCGGUAGCUGGUCUGAGAGGAUGGUCAGCCACACUGGGACUGAGACACGGCCCAGACUCCUACGGGAGGCAGCAGCAAGGAAUCUUGGGCAAUGGGCGAAAGCCUGACCCAGCGACGCCGCGUGAGGGAUGACGGCCUUCGGGUUGUAAACCUCUUUUCUCAGGGAAGAAUAAUGACGGUACCUGAGGAAUAAGUCUCGGCUAACCACGUGCCAGCAGCCGCGGUAAUACGUAGGAGGCGAGCGUUAUCCGGAUUUAUUGGGCGUAAAGUGGGCGUAGGUGGUCUUUCAAGUCGGAUGUGAAAUCUCCCGGCUCAACUGGGAGGGGUCAUCCGAUACUGUUGGACUUGAGUACAGCAGGGGAAAAUGGAAUUCCCGGUGUAGUGGUGAAAUGCGUAGAUAUCGGGAGGAACACCAGAGGCGAAGGCGAUUUUCCAGGCUGAAACUGACACUGAGGCCCGAAAGCGUGGGGAGCGAACAGGAUUAGAUACCCUGGUAGUCCACGCCUUAAACUAUGGGUACUAGGUAUAGGG
rnacentral:rRNA from 1 species